rnacentral:rRNA from 1 species
GAUGAACGCUGGCGGCGUGCCUAAUACAUGCAAGUCGAGCGAACAGACGAGGAGCUUGCUCCUCUGACGUUAGCGGCGGACGGGUGAGUAACACGUGGAUAACCUACCUAUAAGACUGGGAUAACUUCGGGAAACCGGAGCUAAUACCGGAUAAUAUAUUGAACCGCAUGGUUCAAUAGUGAAAGACGGUUUUGCUGUCACUUAUAAAUGGAUCCGCGCCGCAUUAGCUAGUUGGUAAGGUAACGGCUUACCAAGGCGACGAUGCGUAGCCGACCUGAGAGGGUGAUCGGCCACACUGGAACUGAGACACGGUCCAGACUCCUACGGGAGGCAGCAGUAGGGAAGCUUCCGCAAUGGGCGAAAGCCUGACGGAGCAACGCCGCGUGAGUGAUGAAGGUCUUCGGAUCGUAAAACUCUGUUAUUAGGGAAGAACAAAUGUGUAAGUAACUAUGCACGUCUUGACGGUACCUAAUCAGAAAGCCACGGCUAACUACGUG